GUGUAUAUUGCUUUCUAUAUAUACUUAUAGAUAAUAACCAAACAUUUUCAUGGUUCCUUUCAGCAUCUUUUGCUUUAGAAAUCAUGACUCUCUCUACUGCUAGUAAAUUCUACAUCAUCUUCAUGUUUCAUUGUCUUCUCCUUAUUUCCACAUGGGAAGUGGAAGCAACACUUUGUGGAAGGAAAAGUAGAACAUUGUCGGGGCGUUGCACCAGUAACUCAGAUUGUAGUACAAAGUGCAUCAAAUGGGAGUAUGCAACAUAUGGCUCUUGUGGAGGCUUUUAUAUUGAUUGUAUCUGCUUCUUUAAUUGUUGAGCAGGUUUUUUUUUUUUUUUUUUUCCGGGGUUUAAACCCUGAACCCCGCAUAUAUUGCAUUAUCCCUACAACUAAAUUUAUAGGUAUGAGUAGAGAACCCAACACUAGUUGUUUCCCAUGAAAAUCCUGAAGUAUGAUGAAAGUUCAAAUAAAUUCCCUUUGGAUAAUUUAAAUUUAAUAUUAUUUUAAAAUAGCAAAAAUAUUGUUUGCUUCAAA